UUUUUUUUCACUGAAUAUAUCUUUUGAUGGUUUUGUUCAGCCAUGGUUCGAUCUUUCCUUCAGGUUACGGCUUCAGAGGAGGUCGCUUCACCGCUCAGAGUAGUACAAAUUGGGGGUUUGGUCAUCAAUAUGGCUGGAUCAGAUGAGAACAAUAUGGGUUUAGCUAGACUGGCACAUUUCCAAGGUGUUGUACGGAUGGGGUGGAAAAUCUGUUCCUAAGAUUGGAUACAACUACAGAGCUUUAAGCAACAUUAAUACGAAUUUAGUGGGAGCCGCUCCUUACCGAUGUAGAGUCAAUAAAAAAAGCCUCUUAAAAAAAUAGACCACUUGUGAUAAGAUCCCCCUAUUCCACUUCAUAGGCCAAUUACAAGGAAACUUGCAACAGACAUGGCAACAAAGCAGCAACAGCAACAACAGUAGCCUUGUCUUGAGAUUCAUGAGAAGAUUGAAAGUUCUAAGCAGGAACAAAUGUUAGAGUUGGAGAGGCAGAGGAUGAAGUUCAGCAAGGAUCUUGAGUUCCAGAGGAUGCAAAUGUUUAUGGAAGCUUAGCUUGAGCUCGAGAAGAUAAAGCACCCCAAGCAUACGUCUAUUACAGGUUCUUAUUAUUGGAUCUUUUGCCUUCACCUUCAGGUCUAGACCAUGAACUGUAUCCUCCAUUUCCUUUAUUGAAACUUCUUUGUUCUUUAUAUUUUGCAUGAAUUUCUGUACUUAAAAGAAGGUGACAGAUGUAGAGGAUAGAAACAAAUGAAUGAAAAGUAUUGACCAAUCUGUCAUCUAAAGGAGUAUUGUACUGAAAAUUGACAUUUGUACCAUCUGUUUGUAUAUCACAAGCUCAGUGCUAUCUAAUUGCUUCUUGGCUGGACCAAGCUUUAUUCCUCUCACUCUGCUUUCAUAGUUUAAUGAGCAUAUAUAGAGUCUCACUCAGGCCAUUCUCCUUAGGGUUGAUCUUUACAAACAUCAAUGUUUUUUAAUAUCCACCUAUGGAUAUAAUCUCCGAAAUCAAAUAUGUUUGAGAUGGUUCUAGAAAAA